rnacentral:rRNA from 1 species
CCUACGGGCGGCAGCAGUGGGGAAUAUUGGACAAUGGGGGCAACCCUGAUCCAGCCAUGCCGCGUGUGUGAAGAAGGCCCUCGGGUUGUAAAGCACUUUCAGUGAGGAAGAACGCCUGGUGGUUAAUACCCAUCAGGAAAGACAUCACUCACAGAAGAAGCACCGGCUAACUCCGUGCCAGCAGCCGCGGUAAUACGGAGGGUGCGAGCGUUAAUCGGAAUUACUGGGCGUAAAGCGCGCGUAGGUGGCUUGAUAAGUCGGUUGUGAAAGCCCCGGGCUCAACCUGGGAACGGCAUCCGGAACUGUCAAGCUAGAGUGCAGGAGAGGAAGGUAGAAUUCCCGGUGUAGCGGUGAAAUGCGUAGAGAUCGGGAGGAAUACCAGUGGCGAAGGCGGCCUUCUGGACUGACACUGACACUGAGGUGCGAAAGCGUGGGUAGCAAACAGGAUUAGUACCCUAGUAGUC